rnacentral:rRNA from 1 species
UACAGAGGUCCCAAGCGUUGUUCGGAUUCAUUGGGCGUAAAGGGUGCGUAGGCGGCGCGGUAAGUCGGGUGUGAAAUCUCGGAGCUUAACUCCGAAACUGCAUUCGAUACUGCCGUGCUUUGAGGACUGGAGAGGAGACUGGAAUUUACGGUGUAGCGGUGAAAUGCGUAGAUAUCGUAAGGAAGACCAGUGGCGAAGGCGGGUCUCUGGACAGUUCCUGACGCUGAGGCACGAAGGCCAGGGGAGCAAACGGG